rnacentral:rRNA from 1 species
AACGAGGCGGCUUGCCGCUGAAGUGAGCGAUACCCUGCUUCCAGGAAAAGCCACUAAGCUCCAGCUAUAUACGACCGUACCGCAAACCGACACUGGUGCGCGAGAUGAGUAUUCUAAGGCGCUUGAGAGAACUCUGGAGAAGGAACUCGGCAAAUUGACACCGUAACUUCGGAAGAAGGUGUGCCUUUAGUAGGUGAUCCAUUUACUUGGUGAGCCCAAUGAGGCUGCAAAAAAUCGGUGGCUGCGACUGUUUAUUAAAAACACAGCACUCUGCAAAGACGAAAGUCGACGUAUAGGGUGUGACGCCUGCCCGGUGCUGGAAGAUUAAAUGAUGGGGUGCAAGCUCUUGACUGAAGUCCCAGUAAACGGCGGCCGUAACAAUAACGGUCCUAAGGUAGCGAAAUUCCUUGUCGGGUAAGUUCCGACCUGCACGAAUGGCGUAACGAUGGCCACACUGUCUCCUCCAGAGACUCAGCGAAGUUGAAAUGUUUGUGAUGAUGCAAUCUCCCCGCGGAAAGACGGAAAGACCCCAUGAACCUUUACUGUAGCUUUACAUUGGACUUUGAACAGAUCUGUGUAGGAUAGGUGGGAGGCUUUGAAGCGGUGCCGCUAGGUGUCGUGGAGCCAACGUUGAAAUACCACCCUGGUGUGUUUGAGGUUCUAACCUUGGCCCGUGAUCCGGGUUGGGGACAGUGUAUGGUGGGCAGUUUGACUGGGGCGGUCUCCUCCCAAAGCGUAACGGAGGAGUUCGAAGGUACGCUAGGCACGGUCGGAAAUCGUGCUGAUAGUGCAUUGGCAUAAGCGUGCUUGACUGCGAGACUGACAAGUCGAGCAGGUACGAAAGUAGGACAAAGUGAUCCGGUGGUUCUGUAUGGAAGGGCCAUCGCUCAACGGAUAAAAGGUACUCUGGGGAUAACAGGCUGAUACCGCCCAAGAGUUCAUAUCGACGGCGGUGUUUGGCACCUCGAUGUCGGCUCAUCUCAUCCUGGGGCUGUAGCCGGUCCCAAGGGUAUGGCUGUUCGCCAUUUAAAGAGGUACGUGAGCUGGGUUUAAAACGUCGUGAGACAGUUUGGUCCCUAUCUUCCGUGGGCGCUGCAAGAUUGAGAGAGCCUGCUCCUAGUACGAGAGGACCGGAGUGGACGCACCUCUGGUGUAUCGGUUGUCACGCCAGUGGCAUCGCCGAGUAGCUAUGUGCGGAAGAGAUAACCGCUGAAAGCAUCUAAGCGGGAAACUCGUCUCAAGAUGAGUCUUGCCGGGGCCUUGAGCCCCCUGAAGAGUCGUUCUAGACCAGGACGUUGAUAGGAUGGGUGUGGAAGCCGGGUAACCGGUUAAGCUAACCAUUACUAAUUGCUCGUGCGGCUUGACCCG